GCCUGGGUGGCUCAGUCGGUUAAGCGUCCGACUUCAGCUCAGGUCAUGAUCUCGCGGUCCGUGGGUUCGAGCCCCGCAUCGGGCU
rnacentral:tRNA from 1 species